GUGGGGAAUCUUAGACAAUGGGCGCAAGCCUGAUCUAGCCAUGCCGCGUGAUCGAUGAAGGCCUUAGGGUUGUAAAGAUCUUUCAGUGGGGAAGAUAAUGACUGUACCCACAGAAGAAGCCCCGGCUAACUCCGUGCCAGCAGCCGCGGUAAUACGGAGGGGGCUAGCGUUGUUCGGAAUUACUGGGCGUAAAGCGCGCGUAGGCGGACCAGAAAGUUGGAGGUGAAAUCCCAGGGCUCAACCUUGGAACUGCCUUCAAAACUCCUGGUCUGGAGUUCGAGAGAGGUGAGUGGAAUUCCGAGUGUAGAGGUGAAAUUCGUAGAUAUUCGGAGGAACACCAGUGGCGAAGGCGGCUCACUGGCUCGAUACUGACGCUGAGGUGCGAAAGCGUGGGGAGCAAACAGGAUUAGAUACCCGGGUAGUCC
rnacentral:rRNA from 1 species